ACUUGAUGUGGCCGUCCGCGUCGAGGAGGACGUUGUCCAGCUUCAGGUCCCGGUAGAUGAUCCCUCUCUCGUGUAAGAAGUUGAGCGCGAUGCAGAUCUCGGCGGCGUAGAAUCUGGGGGCAGCAGAGCGAAAGAGCACACGUCUGAA